rnacentral:piRNA from 1 species
UAGCAUAAGAACUGACUUCACUGAGACUC